rnacentral:rRNA from 1 species
AUACGGAGGAUGCGAGCGUUAUCCGGAUUUAUUGGGUUUAAAGGGAGCGUAGGUGGGAUAUUAAGUCAGCUGUGAAAGUUUGGGGCUCAACCUUAAAAUUGCAGUUGAUACUGGUUUCCUUGAGUACGGUACAGGUGGGCGGAAUUCGUGGUGUAGCGGUGAAAUGCUUAGAUAUCACGAAGAACUCCGAUCGCGAAGGCAGCUCAACAGGCCGGAACUGACAGUGAUGCUCUAAAGUGCGUGUAUCAAACAGGAUUAGAUACCCUGGUAGUCCGCACAGUAAACGAUGAAUACUCGCUGUUUGCGAUACACGGUAAGCGGCCAAGCGAAAGCGUUAAGUAAUCCACCUGGGGAGUACGCCGGCAACGGUGAAACUCAAAGGAAUUGACGGGG